rnacentral:tRNA from 1 species
UCCCUGGAGGCCUAGUGGUUAGGCCACAGCACUCUCACCACUGUGGCCUGGGUUCAAUUCCCGGCCAGGGAA